UACGAAGGGGGCUAGCGUUGCUCGGAAUUACUGGGCGUAAAGCGCACGUAGGCGGCUUUUUAAGUCAGGGGUGAAAUCCUGGAGCUCAACUCCAGAACUGCCUUUGAUACUGAGAAGCUUGAGUCCGGGAGAGGUGAGUGGAACUGCGAGUGUAGAGGUGAAAUUCGUAGAUAUUCGCAAGAACACCAGUGGCGAAGGCGGCUCACUGGCCCGGUACUGACGCUGAGGUGCGAAAGCGUGGGGAGCAAACAGGG
rnacentral:rRNA from 1 species